GACGAACGCUGGCGGCGUGCUUAACACAUGCAAGUCGAACGGUGAAGCGCCUUCCUUUUUGGUGGGUGUGGAUGAGUGGCGAACGGGUGAGUAACACGUGAGUAACCUGCCCCCUUCUUCUGGAUAACCGCAUGAAAGUGUGGCUAAUACGGGAUAUUCUGGGUCUGUCGCAUGAUGGGUCUGGGAAAGAUAUUGUUUCGGUGGGGGAUGGGCUCGCGGCCUAUCAGCUUGUUGGUGGGGUGAUGGCCUACCAAGGCGGUGACGGGUAGCCGGCCUGAGAGGGUGGACGGUCACACUGGGACUGAGACACGGCCGAGACUCCUACGGGAGGCAGCAGUGGGGAAUAUUGCACAAUGGGCGCAAGCCUGAUGCAGCGACGCCGCGUGAGGGAUGGAGGCCUGCGGGUUGUGAACCUCUUUCGCCAGUGAAGCAGGCCUGCCUCGUUUGUGGGUGGGUUGACGGUAGCUGGAUAAGAAGCGCCGGCUAACUACGUG
rnacentral:rRNA from 1 species